rnacentral:rRNA from 1 species
GUGUCAGCAGCCGCGGUAAUACAGAGGGUGCGAGCGUUGUUCGGAAUUACUGGGCGUAAAGCGCGCGCAGGCGGCUUUCUAAGUCCGUCGGUCAAAUGCCGGGGCUCAACCCCGAGCGUGCCGAGGAUACUGGGAGGCUGGAGACAUGUAGAGGCAAGCGGAAUUCCGGGUGUAGCGGUGGAAUGCGUAGAGAUCCGGAAGAACACCGGAGGCGAAGGCGGCUUGCUGGGCAUGGUCUGACGCUGAGGCGCGAAAGCGUGGGGAGCGAACAGGAUUAGAUACCCUGGUAGUCC